GCCUGCAGCUAGCUCUCUGCAACUCUCACAUGGUCGCCCACUGAAGCCAAACAGGGCUGGGCCCGGUCAGUACCUGGAUGGGAGACCACACGGGAAAGCUAGGUUGCUGCCAGAA
rnacentral:rRNA from 1 species